CCCCCUUAUACAGAGCUAACGCCGUCUCAAGCGAGUGCCGGAGAUAAGCGCCGGAAGGGGGAGCACCU
rnacentral:sRNA from 1 species